rnacentral:lncRNA from 1 species
CCACCCUUCGUGCCGCCUGUAGAAAUACAAAUAGCCGAAGAAGGUGAGUAGGGCGAAACGGUUCCAACGCUGUCCAGGAAGAGGAAACGUACACCUGACAGCCAUCCAAGUUCUGCUUCGGCCCCAUCUCCUCAGGAGCCGAUUCCCAAUAAAUCUCCUUCUCCCGAGACUAUAUAUGCGGACCCUACUCCUCCUGAACAGCCAGCUCCUUCUCCGAAAAGGUCAAGACCCUCU